UCGGGUGUCGUCUAAUGGUAGGACAGCAGACUUUGAAUCUGUCAGUUGGGGUUCGAGUCCCUGCACCCGAGCCA
rnacentral:tRNA from 1 species